CACGUAGGGGACGAGCGUUGUCCGGAUUCAUUGGGCGUAAAGCGCGCGUAGGCGGCUCGGAAAGUCGGGCGUGAAAUGCCGGGGCUCAACCCUGAGCGUGCUUCCGAUACGGGCAGACUAGAGGUAUGCAGGGGAGAACGGAAUUCCUGGUGUAGCGGUGGAAUGCGCAGAUAUCAGGAGGAACACCGGUGGCGAAGGCGGCUCACUGGCCCGGUACUGACGCUGAGGUGCGAAAGCGUGGGGAGCAAACAGG
rnacentral:rRNA from 1 species